rnacentral:rRNA from 1 species
UACGGGGGGUGCGAGCGUUGUCCGGAAUCACUGGGCGUAAAGGGCGCGUAGGUGGUUUGAUAAGGGUGUGGUGAAAGUCCGGGGCUCAACCCCCGGAUCUGCCGUGCCGACUGUCAAACUCGAGGACUGUAGAGGCAGACGGAAUUCCGGGUGUAGCGGUGGAAUGCGUAGAGAUGUGGAGGAAUACCGAUGGCGAAGGCAGCCCCCUGGGCCAAUACUGACGCUCAUGCACGAAAGCGUGGGGAGCAAACAGG